rnacentral:rRNA from 1 species
GAUGAACGCUGGCGGCAUGCCUAACACAUGCAAGUCGAGCGAAAAGACGAGGAGCUUGCUCCUCUGACGUUAGCGACGGACGGGUGAGGAACACGAGGAUGACCUACCUAUAAGACUGGGAUAACGUAGGGAAAACGGAGCUAAUACCAGAUAACAUGUUGAAACGGGUGGAUCAACAGUGAAAGACGGUCUUGAGGUGACUAAUAGAGGGAUCCGCGCCGGAUUAGCUAGUUGGUACGGUAACGGCUUACCAAGGCAACGAUGCGUAGCCGACCUGAGAGGGUGACCGGCCACACUGGGACUGAGACACGGCCCAGACUCCUACGGGAGGCAGCAGUGGGGAAUCUUCCGCAAUGGGGGAAAGCCUGACGCAGCAACGCCGCGUGAGUGAAGAAGGUCUUCGGAUCGUAAACCGCUGUUGUUCGGGAAGAACAAAUGUGUAAUUAUCUAUGCGCGUCAUGACGGUACCUGAACAGUAAGCCACGGCUAACUACGUG